CCAAAGCUACAACCCGGUCCUCGGUCCAAAAUAGCUUGUUUGUUUUCCCUUCUCCACCCUUGGACUCGGUCCAAAUAAACGACCCGGUCCCCAAUUUUGUGUUGAUUCGGUCCGCUAGAAAAAGAUAGCUGACUGGAAAAUGGACGCAGUGAACCCUUAUGUUCUUCAUCUCUGCCACGUCUGGUUCUUCUUCCUACUUCAGUUUCCAAACGCCAACACCAUUCGACGAGACCCUCACUUAACGGCUUCUUCCUCCAGCAGGCCUUUCUCCUCCAACGUUGCCUUCCUCUGGUGUCGCACUCCUUUAGCGCCUUAUUCCCCCCUCGAUCUCCAAACCGGGUGGCAAAUCAUUCUUCAAAAGUGAGCUUUCAGGUAUGGAACAAGGAUAUUAUAAUCGAAACCCAACUGCAAAAGCAUUCCUGAAGCUUGAAGCUUGUCGGAUCUACUGAUGCUAAUCAAAUAUGCUAUGAUUCAUCAUCCUAAAGGUCAUACAAUUCCAAGAUUUAGUAAACCUUUUACUGUUUAUUAUUUUUGUAGAAUUGAAAGUGUUUGUAUCCAACAAGGGAGAUGUAUAUUCAACAAGGAAGUUGAUGUAGUAACAGUUUGGUAUCAAGAAUCAACAAUUGUUUGCAUAAAUUUGUAUUUAUGAUGUAUUGUACCCCACUUUGAAGAGGGUUCUCA